rnacentral:rRNA from 1 species
UACGUAGGGGGCAAGCGUUGUCCGGAUUUAUUGGGCGUAAAGAGCGUGUAGGCGGUCAGGUAGGUCCGUUGUGAAAACUCGAGGCUCAACCUCGAGACGCCGAUGGAAACCAUCUGACUAGAGUCCGGAAGAGGAGAGUGGAAUUCCUGGUGUAGCGGUGAAAUGCGUAGAUAUCAGGAGGAACACCAAUGGCGAAGGCAGCUCACUGGGACGGUAUUGACGCUGAGACGCGAAAGCGUGGGGAGCAAACAGG